CCUACGGGAGGCAGCAGUGAGGAAUAUUGGUCAAUGGGCGAGAGCCUGAACCAGCCAAGCCGCGUGAGGGAGUACUGCCCUUUGGGGUGUAAACCUCUUUUUUCGGGGAGCAAAAUCGGGACGUGUCCGGCUGUGAGAGUACCCUAAGAAUAAGCAUCGGCUAACUCCGUGCCAGCAGCCGCGGUAAUACGGAGGAUGCGAGCGUUAUCCGGAUUUAUUGGGUUUAAAGGGUGCGCAGGCGGAUUUGUAAGUCAGCGGUAAAAUCGUGGGGCUCAACCCCAUGCAGCCGUUGAAACUGGGGAUCUGGAGUGUGCAAGAGGUAUGCGGAAUGCGUGGUGUAGCGGUGAAAUGCAUAGAUAUCACGCAGAACACCGAUUGCGAAGGCAGCAUACCGGUGCACAACUGACGCUCAGGCACGAAAGCGUGGGUAUCGAACAGGAUUAGAUACCCCUGUAGUC
rnacentral:rRNA from 1 species